UGUGUGUGUGUGUUUAUGGAUAGUAUCGAAUAUGUCAAAGUUAAGAAGAAGAGAAUAUAUUCGUGUCGGGCCCCAUAUUUACUCGGUUCACCCAUUUAGAAUCAUUAGGGCACACAAAGCUUUUGCAAAUCACCCCUGCACAAAAUUUAAACAGAGAGCAAGAGAGAGAUGGGUGUAACAAAGGAGCAAGUCCAAGCUUCGUUGACUUCAAAACUUAGCCCUGUUCAUCUGAAAGGAACAAGACCCAUCUUUCUUCUUCCAUCAAUUUUGUUCCAGACCCAAUUUUGUUCCAAACUGGGAAGUGACGUGUGUACCACCAAUUCUUCUUCCAUC